GCGUGAUUAGCUCAGUCGGUAGAGCACCUGACUCUUAAUCAGGGUGUCCAGGGUUCGAAUCCCUGAUGACGCA
rfam:Clostridium chromiireducens strain DSM 23318 CLCHR_contig000017, whole genome shotgun sequence.